CGGGCGCGGCGCUGGUCUAAGUCCCUUGGAACGGGGCGUCAUAGAGGGUGAGAAUCCCGUAUGUGACCGGUGACCAAGCCCAUGUGAAACUCCUUCGACGAGUCGAGUUGUUUGGGAAUGCAGCUCAAAAUGGGUGGUAAAUUUCAUCUAAAGCUAAAUACCGGCCAGAGACCGAUAGCGCACAAGUAGAGUGAUCGAAAGAUGAAAAGCACUUUGGAAAGAGAGUCAAAAAGUACGUGAAAUUGUUGAAAGGGAAGCGCUUGCAACCAGACCUGUCCGCGGGCGAUCAGCCGUCCUUAUGGGCGGUGCACGCGCUCGUGAUCAGGCCAGCAUCGGUUCGGGCGGCCGGAUAAAGGCCCUAGGAACGUAGCUCCUCUCGGGGAGUGUUAUAGCCUAGGGUGCAAUGCGGCCAGCCGGGACCGAGGACCGCGCUUCGGCUAGGAUGCUGGCGUAAUGGUUGUAAGCGGCCCGUCUUGAAACACGGACCAAGGAGUCUAACAUCUAUGCGAGUGUUUGGGUGUUAAACCCAUACGCGGAAUGAAAGUGAACGGAGGUGGGAACCCUUUAGGGCGCACCAUCGACCGAUCCAGAUGUCAUCGGAUGGAUUUGAGUACGAGCAUAGCUGUUGGGACCCGAAAGAUGGUGAACUAUGCCUGAAUAGGGUGAAGCCAGAGGAAACUCUGGUGGAGGCUCGCAGCGGUUCUGACGUGCAAAUCGAUCGUCAAAUUUGGGUAUAGGGGCGAAAGACUAAUCGAACCAUCUAGUAGCUGGUUCAG
rnacentral:rRNA from 2 species